UACGUAGGGUGCGAGCGUUGUCCGGAAUUAUUGGGCGUAAAGCGCACGUAGGCGGCUUUGCAAGUCCCAUGUGAAGCCACGGCUUAACCGUGGAAGUGCAUGGGAACUGCAGAGCUUGAGUGACUUAAGAGGAUCGCGGAAUUCCCGGUGUAGAGGUAGAAAUUCGUAGAUAUCGGGAGGAACACCAGUGGCGAAGGCGGCGAUCUGGGAAGAUACUGACGCUGAGGUGCGAAAGCGUGGGAGCAACAGG
rnacentral:rRNA from 1 species